AGCGGGGAAUUUCAAGUGGUUCUUGAUAUCCGGUUCAUGCCCGGAAAAUCGGUGGUUCAAUUCCAGCCCCCCGCAACCA
rnacentral:tRNA from 1 species